UUCUGGGAGAAGUCGUCAGGCUCUUAAAAAAGACACAUGUGGGAAGAAAUGUGUCAUGUCUAGAUCUGAUGUCUACAGUCGUGGCAACAAGUUUGUGCCCAGGACAGAGCUCAUCUGAGGAUGAGGCCGAAGUCUGAAACAGCUGGGAAGAAAGAUGAAUUCUUGGUGAGAUUGUGGAGCUGCUGAAUUAAGCAAACGUGAAACUGUCUACAUCUGGAUUUCUCGUUGACAGUGACCUUGGCUGCUGAACAAAACCUUGGCUUCAAAAGAAAGGGCAUCACUUUGUCAAAAAUGUGUGUGUUAUGGAAGAGGUUGAGAAACACUCUCUUUAAGGAAGGUUCACCCUCUCCUGUCUAUUUGCUGUUGUUCCUGGGAGCCUUUCCUGAUCUUGAAGUUUGGGUGUAAGUGCCUCCUCCCGAAUGAUCAUCAAACAAUUUAACAAGUGAUGGUCACUAUUAACAAGCCUGGCAAGCUGAUGGAACAGGGCCCCCUGCUGGGUCAGGGGGAAGGAGAACUGUGAACCACUUUUCAGUGGACCAAAAGGUUGGUAGACGCCUUCAAUGGAACGUUAUGCCUGGUGCACAGCAAACUUUCUAGGCUGUCUGACUCAGUGGGGUUUGGGCCUUUCGUUGUCUUUCAGUUACCCUACAACUCUGUAGAGAAAGAAGUUAACUUGCAGAAGACUGGUAGUAAUGCAAAUAAUUCUUGUCCAUAGACUUGCCAAAAAUAUUAUCUGGUGAAUAUUCAGUUGACUUCUCUCCCCCAAGGUUGUACCUACUGGGCAAAUUAAUUGUAACAUAUCUGAUGGGCUUAUAUAUUUGUCUGGUCUUUGAAUUCUCCCCUAAACUGGUUGAACACUUUUUCUGUUUCCCUUAUUAGUUAAUACAUGAGUUGAAUAAAA